rnacentral:rRNA from 1 species
UACGUAGGGGGCAAGCGUUGUCCGGAUUCAUUGGGCGUAAAGAGCGUGUAGGCGGCCAGGUAGGUCGGUUGUGAAAACUGGAGGCUCAACCUUCAGAGGUCGACCGAAACCAUCUGGCUAGAGUCCGGGAGAGGAGAGUGGAAUUCCUGGUGUAGCGGUGAAAUGCGCAGAUAUCAGGAAGAACACCCGUGGCGAAAGCGGCUCUCUGGAACGGUACUGACGCUGAGACGCGAAAGCGUGAGGAGCGAACAGG